rnacentral:rRNA from 1 species
GAUUAGAGUUUGAUCAUGGCUCAGAUUGAACGCUGGCGGUAUGCUUAACACAUGCAAGUCGAACGGCAACAGGCCUUCGGGCGCUGACGAGUGGCGGACGGGUGAGUAACGCGUAGGAAUCUGCCUCAUAGUGGGGGACAACGUGGGGAAACUCACGCUAAUACCGCAUACGCCCUACGGGGGAAAGCGGGGGAUCUUCGGACCUCGCGCUAUGAGAUGAGCCUGCGUUAGAUUAGCUAGUUGGUAGGGUAAAGGCCUACCAAGGCGACGAUCUAUAGCUGGUCUGAGAGGACGAUCAGCCACACUGGGACUGAGACACGGCCCAGACUCCUACGGGAGGCAGCAGUGGGGAAUAUUGGACAAUGGGCGCAAGCCUGAUCCAGCAAUACCGCGUGUGUGAAGAAGGCCCUAGGGUUGUAAAGCACUUUCAAUUGGGAGGAAAACCUGCCGGUCAAUACCCGGCAGCUUGACAUUACCUUAGAAGAA